CAGCCGCCGCGGUAAUACCGGCGGCCCGAGUGGUGGCCGCUAUUAUUGGGCCUAAAGCGUCCGUAGCCGGGUUGGGAAGUCCUCCGGGAAAUCUGGCCGCUUAACGGUCAGAAUGCCGGAGGAUACUCCCAGCCUAGGGAGCGGGAGAGGCCGAGGGUAUUCCCGGAGUAGGGGUGAAAUCCUAUAAUCCCGGGAGGACCACCUGUGGCGAAGGCGCUCGGCUGGAACGCGUCCGACGGUGAGGGACGAAGGCCAGGGGAGCAAACCGGAUUAGAUACCCGGGUAGUCCUGGCUGUAAACGAUGCGGACUUUGUGUCGGACAAGCUAUGAGCUUGUCCGGUGCCGGAGGGAAACCGUUAAGUCCGCCGCCUGGGGAGUACGGCCGCAAGGCUGAAACUUAAAGGAAUUGGCGGG
rnacentral:rRNA from 1 species